rnacentral:rRNA from 1 species
GACGAACGCUGGCGGCGUGCUUAACACAUGCAAGUCGAACGGAAAGGCCCUGCUUGCAGGGUACUCGAGUGGCGAACGGGUGAGUAACACGUGGGUGAUCUGCCCUGCACUUCGGGAUAAGCCUGGGAAACUGGGUCUAAUACCGGAUAGGAGCCAUUUUUAGUGUGAUGGUUGGAAAGUUUUUUCGGUGUAGGAUGAGCUCGCGGCCUAUCAGCUUGUUGGUGGGGUAAUGGCCUACCAAGGCGGCGACGGGUAGCCGGCCUGAGAGGGUGGACGGCCACAUUGGGGCUGGGGUACGGCCCAGACUCCUACGGGAGGCAGCAGGGGGGAAUAUUGCACAAUGGGCGCAAGCCUGAUGCAGCGAAGCCGCGUGGGGGAUGACGGCCUUCGGGUUGUAAACUCCUUUCGCUAGGGACGAAGCUUUUUGUGACGGUACCUAGAUAAGAAGCACCGGCUAACUACGUG